UACGUAGGGGGCAAGCGUUGUCCGGAUUUAUUGGGCGUAAAGAGCGUGUAGGCGGCCAGGUAGGUCAGCUGUGAAAACUCGAGGCUCAACCUCGAGCUGUCGGUGGAAACCAUCUGGCUAGAGUCCGGAAGAGGAGAGUGGAAUUCCCGGUGUAGCGGUGAAAUGCGCAGAUAUCGGGAAGAACACCCAUGGCGAAGGCAGCUCUCUGGGACGGUACUGACGCUGAGACGCGAAAGCGUGGGGAGCGAACAGG
rnacentral:rRNA from 1 species